AAAAAUAAGAUAUAUAAAUUAUACUUAUUGAUUCGUUAAGAGGCUACUGUUGCAAAGCACGUACGCCUAAAACAAUCAAUGUAAGUAUGUAAAGGAAUUAUUAUGCAAUUCUAGCUAUGUAUUAAGGAGAGCAAAUUUGAUAUAAAAAGGAAUAUAAUAUAUUUCUAGUUAAUAAGCUCUAGAAGAAAUUUAAUAAUAAACGAAGUGAAGUGAAAUAUCUCAGUAACUUCAGGAAAAGAAAUCAAAAGAGAUUCUAUGAAUAGCGUGAGCAAAAGUAGAUAAGUCUAUUAAGUAAAAUGGUUUAUAAACUGUUUGAAUGGGGAACCUUCCUCAAAGACUAAAUAUGAUACAUAAGCGAUAGAUGAUGGGCCGUGAGGUAAUUGGAAGUUAGUAGUAAUUUUAUAAGCAGUUCGAAUAGACUUAAUUUAAGUUAAAGAACGUACCUUUUGCAUAAUGGGUCACCAAGUUAACAUUAGAUGCGAGAAAAUUUCGUAGUUAAACCAAACGUUAAAAUAACGAUAAGUGUCUAAAGUUAGACCCGAAGCCUAGUGAUUUUACUAUGAUCAGGAUUAUAAAAGUCCGAACGGGUGAUUGUGGCAAAAAUCUCCGAAGAAUCGUGGUAGGUAUAGUGAAAGACAAUACUGACUAGGAUAGCUGGUUUUCUGCGAAACCUAUAAGAGUAGGCAAUUUAAGUAAAUAUCUUAGCAGGUACAGAAUUUAAUCUCAGGCAAUAUUAUAUUGCGCAAAUUGGGGAAUCGUGAAGAUUUUAUCAGUGAGUAUGUAGACUCGGAAUGGCAAAGAUAUAUCUUGAAUAAUCAGACAUAGAAUGAUAAGGUUGUAUGUCAAAAGGGAAACAGCCCAAAACAAGAGUUAAGGUUCCUAAAUUAUUUGUUGAGUGAAAAUAAGAAGGUUUUUAUUAAAGUCGACAAGGAGAUAGGCUUAGAAGCAGCCAUAAUUUUAUGACCUCGUAACAGAGCGCUUGUUAAGUUAUAAAAGCAUCGAAAAUAUAACGGAUCUAAACAAUAUACCGAAACCUUGUCCAUAAAUUAAUGUAGUUUGUUAUUAUACUAUAAAUUUAUGGGGUAGCAGAACGUUGAAUUAGACUAAAUAACAAGUUUAUAAAUUUGUUAUGUUAAUUCAAGUGAGAAUGGUGACAUGAGUAACGAAAAGAAUAGUAGAUUUUGGUAAUAAGCGCAAGUUUUAUUGCGAACAAUACAUUAAAUAAUAGAUCUUAUUUAAUGCUUACAAGAUCUGCUAUCCGCCUAAAGCUUAUGGUUAGAAUUAAGUAACGGCCUCUAAGCUUUUUAUCUAAAGAUUGAAGCGAUGAGAAAAUCUUUUAUUAUAAGACGACAUUUAUCUAGUGAAAAAUGUACAGGAAAUAUUAUAAUAUUGUAACCGUACCUAGAAACCGACUAUGGUAAGCUAGUAGAGUAUACGAAGGCGUAAUUGAGAUAACAAUCAUAAAGGAACUCGGCAAAUUGACUAUCGUAACUUCGGGAUAAGUAGGGCUCAUUAUUCUUGAUUAAUAUCAGGUAAAGAGGAAGAAACAUAAAAUAAUGUUGUACGACUGUUUAAUUAAAACACAGCACUUUGCUUAAAGAUUAAAAAUCUAUGUAUAAAGUGUGAUAUCUGCCCGGUGCCGGCUGGCUAACAGAGAUAAUUGAAUAUAUUACUAUUUGAUGUCAACGGAAGCCCCGGUUAAAGGCGGCCUUAACGUGAGGGUCCUAAGGUAGCGAAAUGCCUUGGCCGUUAAAUGCGGUCUUGCAUGAAUGGUGUAACGAUACAACAGCUGUCUCUAUGAUUGACUCAGUGAAAUUGGAAUAGCUGUGCAGAUACAGCUUACCUCUAGUUAGACGAGAAGACCCUAUGCAGCUUUACUGUCACUAAUAAUAGAUUUUGAUGAAAAAUUUUCAGACUAAAAGGGAAUUGAUUAAAUAUCUAUGAGAAACCUUUAUUUUUAUUCUUCAUUUGAAUGAAUUGAUAUACCUAUUGGUAUAUCAUCCUAGUUCAGCCUAGAUUAUGUAGCGCUUCGCGCUAUUUUUAUUAAAAAAUAGUGCAAGCUAUUAUUAAGAGAUAGGUACCCUUGGAGAGGAACUAUUACUAGGGGACAGUUUAUGUGGGGCACAGACCCUGUAAAGAGUAAACAGGUGUGUCUAAUAAUUAUUUUUAUUUUGUUUGCUAUUUUUAUAUAAAUCGUAUUGACUUUGAUAUAAUUGUAUUAUAUGCUUAGUAAGCUAUAUAAUUAUAUUUAUAUUGAAAAUUUAGGUAAGAUUUUGACUAUACUGAAAUUAGAGAUAAUUUAAAUUUUUAUGUGAUAUGUUUAUUAUUACUAAAUUUUUAUAGUUACUUAAAACACUGUAGGUUUUACUAUUUUUUAUUAAAAAAUAGCAAGCUAUAGUUAGUAAUUAUGUUUUUAAUAUCUAAAAAGCUCAACGGCUUAAUCUUGCCUUACUGUUUGAUUAUCGACAAAUCUUACAGUUGCGUAAGCAGGGCAUAGGAUCACAAGAUGCAAUAAGGAAAGAUCUUGGAUUAUUGGAAAAGCUACGCUAGGGAUAACAGGCUAAUUUGCGCAAGAGUGUACAAAAUGAGUGCGCGGUUUGGCACCUCGAUGUCGGCUUAACUUAUCCUCAUGGAUGCAGAAACUAUGUAGGGUGCGACUGUUCGUCGAUUAAAAAGUUACAUGAGCUGGGUUAAAUACGUCGUGAGACAGUAUGGUUUCUAUCUUCUAGAGGGAAUUAGAAUAAAAUAAGAACGAACUUUUGUACGAAAGGAACAAGAAUGAUUUAAGGUUAUAGGCUUUGUCUAUAACUAAAUAAAUUAUAGUUACUAACCUAUGGUUUACCUGUUGUUUAUAUGCCCUGUUAUUAAAUAUAUGGAUAGAAUAAUAUAUUUAUUGAUUAGUAUUUAGUUAUAAAUAUUUAUAUUUAGAUCAAUACGGUACUAAUUCAGUAGACACUGCUAUUUAUAUAGAUGUAUAUUAAUAUAUACAAAGGAUGUAUCGUUCGCUAGGAUAAUAUAUUAUAUAAGCACGGCAGGAAAGCUAAGUUGGUUAAGGAUAAGUGCUGAAAGCAUAUAGGCACGAAGCUUAUCUUAAGAUAUUUCUUAAAUAUAUGUAUUAGAAUAAUACACAAUAGGCUUUCUUUGUAAGAAUCUAGAGAUUUGUAAGAUGAAAGUACUAAUUUUAUAAAUUACUAUGUAUAUAUAUAUCA
rnacentral:rRNA from 1 species